rnacentral:rRNA from 1 species
GACGAACGCUGGCGGCGUGCCUAAUACAUGCAAGUUGAGCGAUGAAGAUUGGUGCUUGCACCAAUUUGAAGAGCAGCGAGCGGGUGAGUAACGCGUGGGGAAUCUGCCUUUGAGUGGGGGACAACAUUUGGAAACGAAUGCUAAUACCGCAUAACAACUUUAAACAUAAGUUUUAAGUUUGAAAGAUGCAAUUGCAUCACUCAAAGAUGAUCCCGCGUUGUAUUAGCUAGUUGGUGAGGUAAAGGCUCACCAAGGCGAUGAUACAUAGCCGACCUGAGAGGGUGAUCGGCCACAUUGGGACUGAGACACGGCCCAAACUCCUACGGGAGGCAGCAGUAGGGAAUCUUCGGCAAUGGACGAAAGUCUGACCGAGCAACGCCGCGUGAGUGAAGAAGGUUUUCGGAUCGUAAAACUCUGUUGGUAGAGAAGAACGUUGGUGAGAGUGGAAAGCUCAUCAAGUGACGGUAACUACCCAGAAAGGGACGGCUAACUACGUG